GGAGAGGUGGCCGAGUGGCUGAAGGCGCACGCCUGGAAAGUGUGUAUACGGCAACGUAUCGAGGGUUCGAAUCCCUCUCUCUCCGCCA
rnacentral:tRNA from 11 species